UCUCGCAGGGUUGGGGGCUGGGUCCUUCCCAAGGCACUUCUGUCUGACUCCUUCACACGCCGCCGCGGGCAACCCAGGGGACGGCUGCACGCCAGCCCGACCGCGCCCUACGCCGGCGGGCGAACUCAGGAGCCCGCCUGCAGGGAAGUCACUCAGAGAACCCGAGUGCCUACAGCCAAUCGGACCGACAGAGGCAUUUUCUUCUCUCCAAUCAACAUCACCGCCCGCUCGGAGAACUGGGGAAAGUUCCCACCACACAGACCUCUGAUGGCCUGUCAGUUCUCCCAGUUCAAGUUCCUGGAUGUCCCCUCCUCCCAUAGCCAACUUCCUGCAGACCCUCUGGCAGCCAGAUCUCACACACCCUGGCCUAUGUUGUGCCUUCACGUCAGCUCAGGAAGACCCUCCCUCCAUCCGCCAGGCUCCCUCAUGGAAGUACCCGCAUCGGAGGCCGGUCGGGACCCUGGCAAGGUGCCUGCCCAGCGGCUGCGAGCUCUGCCAUCCGCUUCUCCAUCUGCUCCAGCCGCUCCAGUAUGGACAUCCGGAACUGGUUGUCUGAGGGGGAAAGGGUAUGGGAGGCUCACGGGCAGGGUCUAGGUGAUGCCCUUAACACAGAACUAGACCUAUCCCAGGAUCUGGGAGGUAAAGACACUGAAUCAUAUUCUUUCCCCUCCUCCAAACCAACAGCCCCUUUACCCACCCACCUUUGAAACUCAGUCCUUAAGCUAGGGCUCUUAACCCUACUCGUCCACCCAGGACCAGAAUCCAGAGCCACAACUGUGUCCUUCAAGGCACAGAGACAGGAGGUAUUCCCACAUAGUAUCCAACCCGAACUGCUCCAGAUCACACAACACUCCCUCAGCCUUCCCCUAGGUGAAACACUGUCCGCGCUUGCCCCAGACACUACCUCUGUCCCCCAUGCUGGGGCUGAAGGACUCCAGGGUCCCUGCUCUCUGUUAGCCACAGCCCCAAAGAGCUCAGGAACUGUGAUUUGAAAAGCACCGCCCCUUCCUCCUGGCCCCCCACAGCUGUCCACAAAGAGGAUGGUGGGGAGGGAACAUGACAGAGAUGGAUAGCCAUCCAUUCCUCCUCCUCCCCUCACCCCAUGCACAAAUACACACGCGCACACACACAUCCCAAGCUAUAUCUGUCCCCUCUUGAGAUCACACAAGGACAAGGAGGAGGGGCGGGAGGGGAUCAGAGCCAUGGAAAAACAAGCAUCGAGAAACAGGCUGGAGGUCAGGGGUGUUCUGAGAUGCUAGGCAGAAGGGGCUGAGGCACAGAAGUGAUGGUGGGGAGGAAGGAAGGUGGAGAAGGAUGAGCAGAGACCUUUGUAUAGCAGGGAGGAGAGAGAGCAGAAAGGAUCAACAAGGUGAAGAGAGGAGAGAGGGGACGAAGGAAAGCUGGGGACUGUACCAAGCAAGCAACAAGGAAGAGAAGAAGGGGGACAAGUUAAGACCCUGGUCCAAGGAGAAAUGAAAGAGGGAGGAGCGAUGGUAGAACAGGGACAGGAAAGGAAGGCGAGGGGCAGUCACAGCAGGACAGACAGAACAGGCCUGGGAGACCUGGCAAGAUCCCACGGUAGGCUGCAGGGCAGCCCACACACAGCCCCCUGAAGGGGCAGCUCUGAGGGAGGUGAGCCAGGACGAGCCCUGAGGGAGACACCACAGGGUGACAGCAGAACUGAGACACCCAGAGGCAACAACAGAGACACCCAGAGGAGAAGACAGAGAAGCGCACACCCUGAGAAAGAAGCAGGAGCCGAGAGAAACAAUUUCUCAAAGCCAGUGCUGGAUUUAAAUAAAUACACACUGCCCAGCCAGCACAGCUCAGUGGUUGAGCAUCGACCUAUGAACCAGGAGGUCAUGGUUCGAUUCCCAGUCAGGGCACAUGCCUAGAUUGCAGGGUCGAUCCCCACUGUGGGGCAUGCAGGAGGCAGCCAAUCAAUGAUUCUCAUCAUUGAUGUUUCUCUCUCUCCCUCUCUGAAAUCAAUAAAAAUAUACUUAAAAAAUAAAUACACACAUACACAUGCGUGUAUGCAUGUCUGUGUUUGUAUA